UACGUAGGGGGCAAGCGUUGUUCGGAAUUCCUGGGCGUAAAGGGCGCGUAGGCGGCAUGGCAAGUCAGGAGUGAAAGGCCUGGGCUCAACCGAGGAACUGCUUUUGAUACUGCCAAGCUAGAGUGCGGAAGGGGCAACUGGAAUUCCCAGUGUAGCGGUGAAAUGCGUAGAUAUUGGGAAGAACACCUGAGGCGAAGGCGGGUUGCUGGGCCGACACUGACGCUGAGGCGCGAAAGCCAGGGGAGCAAACGGG
rnacentral:rRNA from 1 species